GGGCCCGCACAAGCGGUGGAGCAUGUGGUUUAAUUCGACGCAACGCGAAGAACCUUACCCAGACUUGACAUGCAUCGGACGCGUGUGGAAACACACGUUCCCUUCGGGGCUGGUGCACAGGUGCUGCAUGGCUGUCGUCAGCUCGUGUCGUGAGAUGUUGGGUUAAGUCCCGCAACGAGCGCAACCCUUGUCCUUAGUUGCUAACGGGUAAUGCUGAGCACUCUAAGGAGACUGCCGGUGAUAAACCGGAGGAAGGUGGGGAUGACGUCAAGUCCUCAUGGCCCUUACGUCUGGGGCUACACACGUGCUACAAUGGCCGGUACAAAGGGUUCCGAUACCGCGAGGUGGAGGCAAUCCCAAAAAACCGGUCUCAGUUCGGAUUGCAGUCUGCAACUCGACUGCAUGAAGUCGGAAUCGCUAGUAAUCGCUGAUCAGCAGGCAGCGGUGAAUACGUUCCCGGGCCUU
rnacentral:rRNA from 1 species